UCCAGACUCCUACGGGAGGCAGCAGUGAGGAAUAUUGGUCAAUGGCCGAAGGGCUGAACCAGCCAAGCCGCGUGAAGGAAUAAGGCCCUACGGGUCGUAAACUUCUUUAGUCAGGGAACAAAGGGUGCCACGUGUGGCGCUGUGAGUGUACCUGAAGAAUAAGCAUCGGCUAACUCCGUGCCAGCAGCCGCGGUAAUACGGAGGAUGCGAGCGUUAUCCGGAUUUAUUGGGUUUAAAGGGUGCGUAGGCGGUUUGUCAAGUCAGCGGUAAAAUCGCGGGGCUCAACCUCGCUCCGCCGUUGAAACUGGCGUUCUUGAGUGGGCGAGAAGUAUGCGGAAUGCGUGGUGUAGCGGUGAAAUGCAUAGAUAUCACGCAGAACUCCGAUUGCGAAGGCAGCAUACCGGCGCCCAACUGACGCUGAAGCACGAAAGCGUGGGUAUCGAACAGGAUUAGAUACCCGCGUA
rnacentral:rRNA from 1 species